CAAAAUCUAGGGAUAAACAGCCAAAAGCACUCUAAUCACAGCAUAGCAAAUGUCUACAAUUUCUCUCAUCUCUCACAAACUAAGAGGUUAAAUGAAACAAUAUGAACGAAAAUAAGAAAAUGAGUAAUGGCAAGAACAUGAACUGAAAUAAGAAAAUGAAUAGAGGUAAUUAUAAUUUCACAGCUUAGUUGUUCUGGAAAGUUGAUUGCCAUUUCGUCUACAUCAUUGAGAUUUCUUUGAAACCUUGAGCCUCCAACAUGAACAGGGAGAUCCUAGAAGGCGUGAGUGGGACGCCAAAGAGACCCUCUAUUGCCCUUUCCAUCUGGGUUUUAUGAUGAUGUUUGGCUUUCCUUGCUCUAUUUGGCUUGAGGUUCUGUGUUUUUCGGUGUGUGAAGGAUCAUAGCCAAUCCUUGUUUCUCUGGUCUUGCAUGUCUAACAUCUGGUGUCCUCGAGUUUCGGGGGUCCUUCUACAGCUGUGCUUUCUGGGUAUUGGUUUAAGGAAGCAUCUGUAAGUGGCUUCCAUUUGCGGUGAAUGGUUUUGGCUUCCCCGAUGGUAGUUUAUAUCUCCGGCAGCGUGCUCCAUCAUUUAGCUGGUUCCCUUUUGGGUUGAUUUAGGGUCCCAUGUUUGGGCUGGUUCGAUUUAGAUUGAUAGUUGGCAGAUAGGACCCCUUUUUUCACGUCUUGGUUUGUAUUUCUAUAAGGUUUGGG
rnacentral:misc_RNA from 1 species